AACGAACGCUGGCGGCAUGCCUAACACAUGCAAGUCGAACGAGACCUUCGGGUCUAGUGGCGCACGGGUGCGUAACGCGUGGGAACCUGCCCUUAGGCUCGGAAUAACUCCCCGAAAGGGGUGCUAAUACCGGAUAAUGUCUUCGGACCAAAGAUUUAUCGACUUUGGAUGGGCCCGCGUUGGAUUAGCUAGUUGGUAGGGUAAAAGCCUACCAAGGCGACGAUCCAUAGCUGGUCUGAGAGGAUGAUCAGCCACACUGGGACUGAGACACGGCCCAGACUCCUACGGGAGGCAGCAGUGGGGAAUAUUGGACAAUGGGCGAAAGCCUGAUCCAGCAAUGCCGCGUGAGUGAUGAAGGCCUUAGGGUUGUAAAGCUCUUUUACCCGGGAUGAUAAUGACAGUACCGGGAGAAUAAGCUCCGGCUAACUCCGUG
rnacentral:rRNA from 1 species